rnacentral:rRNA from 1 species
GACGAACGCUGGCGGCGUGCUUAACACAUGCCAGUCGAACGGAAAGGCCCUGCUUUUGUGGGGUGCUCGAGUGGCGAACGGGUGAGUAACACGUGAGUAACCUGCCCUUGACUUUGGGAUAACUUCAGGAAACUGGGGCUAAUACCGGAUAGGAGCUCCUGCUGCACGGUGGGGGUUGGAAAGUUUCGGCGGUUGGGGAUGGACUCGCGGCUUAUCAGCUUGUUGGUGGGGUAGUGGCUUACCAAGGCUUUGACGGGUAGCCGGCCUGAGAGGGUGACCGGCCACAUUGGGACUGAGAUACGGCCCAGACUCCUACGGGAGGCAGCAGUGGGGAAUAUUGCACAAUGGGCGGAAGCCUGAUGCAGCAACGCCGCGUGCGGGAUGACGGCCUUCGGGUUGUAAACCGCUUACGCCUGUGACGAAGCGUGAGUGACGGUAAUGGGUAAAGAAGCACCGGCUAACUACGUG